rnacentral:rRNA from 1 species
AGCCCAGAGCCUGAAUCAGUGUGUGUGUUAGUGGAAGCGUCUGGAAAGGCGCGCGAUACAGGGUGACAGCCCCGUACACAAAAAUGCACAUGCUGUGAGCUCGAUGAGUAGGGCGGGACACGUGGUAUCCUGUCUGAAUAUGGGGGGACCAUCCUCCAAGGCUAAAUACUCCUGACUGACCGAUAGUGAACCAGUACCGUGAGGGAAAGGCGAAAAGAACCCCGGCGAGGGGAGUGAAAAAGAACCUGAAACCGUGUACGUACAAGCAGUGGGAGCACAGAGCAAUCUGUGUGACUGCGUACCUUUUGUAUAAUGGGUCAGCGACUUAUAUUCUGUAGCAAGGUUAACCGAAUAGGGGAGCCGAAGGGAAACCGAGUCUUAACUGGGCGUUAAGUUGCAGGGUAUAGACCCGAAACCCGGUGAUCUAGCCAUGGGCAGGUUGAAGGUUGGGUAACACUAACUGGAGGACCGAACCGACUAAUGUUGAAAAAUUAGCGGAUGACUUGUGGCUGGGGGUGAAAGGCCAAUCAAACCGGGAGAUAGCUGGUUCUCCCCGAAAGCUAUUUAGGUAGCGCCUCGUGAAUUCAUCUCCGGGGGUAGAGCACUGUUUCGGCAAGGGGGUCAUCCCGACUUACCAACCCGAUGCAAACUGCGAAUACCGGAGAAUGUUAUCACGGGAGACACACGGCGGGUGCUAACGUCCGUCGUGAAGAGGGAAACAACCCAGACCGCCAGCUAAGGUCCCAAAGUCAUGGUUAAGUGGGAAACGAUGUGGGAAGGCCCAGACAGCCAGGAUGUUGGCUUAGAAGCAGCCAUCAUUUAAAGAAAGCGUAAUAGCUCACUGGUCGAGUCGGCCUGCGCGGAAGAUGUAACGGGGCUAAACCAUGCACCGAAGCUGCGGCAGCGACGCUGAUGCGUUGUUGGGUAGGGGAGCGUUCUGUAAGCCUGCGAAGGUGUGCUGUGAGGCAUGCUGGAGGUAUCAGAAGUGCGAAUGCUGACAUAAGUAACGAUAAAGCGGGUGAAAAGCCCGCUCGCCGGAAGACCAAGGGUUCCUGUCCAACGUUAAUCGGGGCAGGGUGAGUCGACCCCUAAGGCGAGGCCGAAAGGCGUAGUCGAUGGGAAACAGGUUAAUAUUCCUGUACUUGGUGUUACUGCGAAGGGGGGACGGAGAAGGCUAUGUUGGCCGGGCGACGGUUGUCCCGGUUUAAGCGUGUAGGCUGGUUUUCCAGGCAAAUCCGGAAAAUCAAGGCUGAGGCGUGAUGACGAGGCACUACGGUGCUGAAGCAACAAAUGCCCUGCUUCCAGGAAAAGCCUCUAAGCAUCAGGUAACAUCAAAUCGUACCCCAAACCGACACAGGUGGUCAGGUAGAGAAUACCAAGGCGCUUGAGAGAACUCGGGUGAAGGAACUAGGCAAAAUGGUGCCGUAACUUCGGGAGAAGGCACGCUGAUAUGUAGGUGAAGUCCCUCGCGGAUGGAGCUGAAAUCAGUCGAAGAUACCAGCUGGCUGCAACUGUUUAUUAAAAACACAGCACUGUGCAAACACGAAAGUGGACGUAUACGGUGUGACGCCUGCCCGGUGCCGGAAGGUUAAUUGAUGGGGUUAGCGCAAGCGAAGCUCUUGAUCGAAGCCCCGGUAAACGGCGGCCGUAACUAUAACGGUCCUAAGGUAGCGAAAUUCCUUGUCGGGUAAGUUCCGACCUGCACGAAUGGCGUAAUGAUGGCCAGGCUGUCUCCACCCGAGACUCAGUGAAAUUGAACUCGCUGUGAAGAUGCAGUGUACCCGCGGCAAGACGGAAAGACCCCGUGAACCUUUACUAUAGCUUGACACUGAACAUUGAGCCUUGAUGUGUAGGAUAGGUGGGAGGCUUUGAAGUGUGGACGCCAGUCUGCAUGGAGCCGACCUUGAAAUACCACCCUUUAAUGUUUGAUGUUCUAACGUUGACCCGUAAUCCGGGUUGCGGACAGUGUCUGGUGGGUAGUUUGACUGGGGCGGUCUCCUCCUAAAGAGUAACGGAGGAGCACGAAGGUUGGCUAAUCCUGGUCGGACAUCAGGAGGUUAGUGCAAUGGCAUAAGCCAGCUUGACUGCGAGCGUGACGGCGCGAGCAGGUGCGAAAGCAGGUCAUAGUGAUCCGGUGGUUCUGAAUGGAAGGGCCAUCGCUCAACGGAUAAAAGGUACUCCGGGGAUAACAGGCUGAUACCGCCCAAGAGUUCAUAUCGACGGCGGUGUUUGGCACCUCGAUGUCGGCUCAUCACAUCCUGGGGCUGAAGUAGGUCCCAAGGGUAUGGCUGUUCGCCAUUUAAAGUGGUACGCGAGCUGGGUUUAGAACGUCGUGAGACAGUUCGGUCCCUAUCUGCCGUGGGCGCUGGAGAACUGAGGGGGGCUGCUCCUAGUACGAGAGGACCGGAGUGGACGCAUCACUGGUGUUCGGGUUGUCAUGCCAAUGGCACUGCCCGGUAGCUAAAUGCGGAAGAGAUAAGUGCUGAAAGCAUCUAAGCACGAAACUUGCCCCGAGAUGAGUUCUCCCUGACUCCUUGAGAGUCCUGAAGGAACGUUGAAGACGACGACGUUGAUAGGCCGGGUGUGUAAGCGCAGCGAUGCGUUGAGCUAACCGGUACUAAUGAACCGUGAGGCUUAACCUU